rnacentral:rRNA from 1 species
AGCGAACGCUGGCGGCAGGCCUAACACAUGCAAGUCGAACGAACCCUUCGGGGUUAGUGGCGGACGGGUGAGUAACACGUGGGAACGUGCCUUUAGGUUCGGAAUAACUCAGGGAAACUUGUGCUAAUACCGAAUGUGCCCUUCGGGGGAAAGAUUUAUCGCCUUUAGAGCGGCCCGCGUCUGAUUAGCUAGUUGGUGAGGUAAAGGCUCACCAAGGCUACGAUCAGUAGCUGGUCUGAGAGGAUGACCAGCCACAUUGGGACUGAGACACGGCCCAAACUCCUACGGGAGGCAGCAGUGGGGAAUCCUGCGCAAUGGGCGAAAGCCUGACGCAGCCAUGCCGCGUGAAUGAUGAAGGUCUUAGGAUUGUAAAAUUCUUUCACCGGGGACGAUAAUGACGGUACCCGGAGAAGAAGCCCCGGCUAACUUCGUGCCAGCCGCCGCGGUAAAAC